rnacentral:lncRNA from 1 species
AAACUAGACAGUUAAUGCUAGAAAGGAAGCCUUAGCUGAGUCUCUUCCAGGUCAAACGACAUUUUCUACAUCUUUGCACUCAGCAAUAACGACCUUGGACAGCAAAAGAAUUGUUAACCUGGAAUGAUUUUGAAAGACAUACUUUAUUAUGAUAUAAUGCCACCAAACACUCAAUCAAAAUCACUAAAUUAAGAAUUUGGGAAAACCUCACAUAUAAUUCAAUAAAGUGAAAGUUUACACAGGUCACAGUUGACAAGGAAAUAUAUAAUUGCAUGGUGGGUGAUUGUUAAGAGCAUGUAUGCAUUAAAUUAAGAGCCACUUCAAAGUAAACUUCUCAAUAAAUUUAAAAAUAAAACGAAUCAAAGAAGUAAAUUUAUUAAACUUGUCUAACAAAUUAAAAUUAAUUUAUUCACUUCACCUUUCUCUAUAUGUUCUCUCUUCUAACAUUUUCACAAGUUGAGGUGUUCGAGUUGAUUUUAAAACUAUGAAGCAAUUUAAUUCAUUUUAUCUCUUUAGUUUUUAUUUCCUUCUCACUUCAAUACUUAUUGAAAAAUUUAACUAAACUAGCCAAAGGUUGCUUAGGUAGUGCUCAAAACGAUAAAGGAAGUGGAAGAAAAUUCACGUGACAGGUUCUACAGGAGGGUCUCUGAUUGAAAACAAUAGCAAGCAUUUGGAGUAUGUCUCAAGAGUCUCAUAACUUGAUCAAGACUAAGGCUUGUCAUGCAUAAUACCCACAUUAGAGAGAGUGAUCAGAGGAGAACAAAACCAAUUAAUAACAGAAAAAAAUGCCCUCAUUGGAUUUAGGUAAGUGAAGUUACCGUGUACAAAGCAAAAAAGAUUUUUAUAUUAUUGAUUUUGAGUCUAUUAAAGGGAUUGUCCAAGCAAGCAUUCACCUUACUGUCUUAGCCAGAAGGAAACCCGAAGACCCUUGGCAAAUGUGCAGUACAGUUGGACAACAAAGCCCGAGCGAGCCAACAAGUCCAGAGCACACUGUAGGGC